rnacentral:tRNA from 1 species
GUAGGCAUGGUGCAGGUUGAAACGGUACAUAUCUUUUUCUGUAAGAUUGACAUCAAAUUCGAUGGGCAUGGUUGUACUCCUUACGCUUACU